GUGAGGAAUAUUGGUCAAUGGGCGGAAGCCUGAACCAGCCAUGCCGCGUGAAGGACGAAGGCGUUCUGCGUUGUAAACUUCUUUUAUAAGGGAAGAAACCUGCGAUAUCUAUUGCAGCCGACGGUACCUUAUGAAUAAGCACCGGCUAACUCCGUGCCAGCAGCCGCGGUAAUACGGAGGGUGCGAGCGGUGUCCGGAUUUAUUGGGUUUAAAGGGUGCGUAGGUGGCCAAAUAAGUCAGUGGUGAAAUACGGUUGCUCAACAAUCGAGGUGCCAUUGAUACUGCUUGGCUUGAAAUAAUUGGAGGCUGCCGGAAUGGAUGGUGUAGCGGUGAAAUGCAUAGAUAUCAUCCAGAACACCGAUUGCGAAGGCAGGUGGCUACGAUUUAUUUGACACUGAGGCACGAAAGCAUGGGGAGCAAACAGGAUUAGAAACCCUAGUAGUCC
rnacentral:rRNA from 1 species